rnacentral:rRNA from 1 species
UACGGAAUGUGCAAACGUUAUUCGGAAUCACUAGGCUUAAAGAGUCCGUAGGCGGCAUGUUAGGUGAGGUGUGAAAUCCCCCGGCUCAACCGAGGAAUUGCGCUUCAAACCGGCGUGCUUGAGGAAGAUAGAGGUGGGCGGAACUAGAUGGUGGAGCGGUGAAAUGCGUUGAUAUCAUCAGGAACACCGGGAGGCGAAGGCGGCCCACUGGGUCUUUUCUGACGCUGAGGGACGAAAGCUAGGGGAGCGGACGGG